GGAAGACGGAGGCAAACUAUAGACACGGUAAGAAGGCGACGACUCUGGAAUAUUUGCUCCACUCACAAUGCAAGCCGAUUGCAGCUUGACUGGUACAGUCAGCCUUCCAACUGGGAGAUUCGUCGCCCAGGCCGCCGUUUUUCACGCCCAACUUGAGCUGCCUCACGUGCCGCUCCGCACACCGCACCGUGCCCGCAACCGGUCAGUACCUGCGGCAGCAUAGGGAGCGGUGGCCGGGGCUAUCUGUGCCGCGGUGCGCGAGAACGUGCCGGCGCGGCGAGGCCCUCGGCAAGGCUACGACCUGUGUCCUGCUCUGCUCGUCGUCGUCGGGAGCGGCAAGUCCCAGCCGGCCGGAGCUGGUCAGGCUGCAUAGAUCGGAGGCGCAUCCCUUCCGCGCGGCAGGACUACGCGUUCUGUCACUCCCGGCGGACGGCGGCGGGAGCUGGGAGGGGCAGUGUUCGCGGCGACGGGGAACCGGGGUGGUCGGUAUUUCGUUUACCGUCCACCCCUAGGCCACCUGAACCGUCAGAUCGAGAACGAGCGGCAGGAUGCGAGCUGGCGUAGGCGAGCGUUUUAGCGUGGCGUGGGCCGAUCUACGCCUCUGGGCCCAGAUUAGCGCCUUGGCCCAGAAAAGCCAGUUAUUUUCUCGCGCGAUCGCAGGCAGCUCCGUCUUCGCGGCCAGCCCGGGCGCGGCGGCGCGCGGUGCUGGUGCCUGGUGGUAAGCCCGCCGCCGUCCAAGUGCAGCAACACGGAGGUGAGGCGGUGCAGAAGAGCUUCAGAGGGAGGGGACGAAGGCCAUGAAGGAGCUGGCCACCUGAGUGACCUGACCACGAGCGGCGGCGGCUACUACGCCGGCGUUGACUCGACAAGACGACAACCCAGGAGACUACGAAGGCACGUCUGAUCCUGAUGAUAUUUGCAUACCAUCUUCAACUGAAUAAGCACCAGUGGAACAGAGAUUUUCAGGAGGAAUGGAAGGACACACACAUGCAUUCUCUAUUUUCUGGACAAGGCUCAUGCUGUGGUUAAGCUCUUGCAUUGAAAAAGGAACCAGAGGCGGGAUUAUGAUGAAUGGCAACUGGUGGCUGAGGCGGGAUACAGAACAGCACGUGGUUUAAAAUAAAGAAGGGCAUGCAAGCGAUUAGACCCUUCUGUUUGAAAGCUAAUAAUAUACACACUGCUCUCAUCAUGUCGCUAUUAUGAUAUUCCUACAGAUUAUUGUAAGCUUUUGAGGAAAGAUAGGAAUAAGUGCGAAGCUUUCCAAUUAUUGAGCUAAAUUUUGAACAACUUCAUCAUCUUUACCAAAAUGAAAUUAUGAGAUCAA